ACAUCCACAUUUACUUACUCAUCGAUCAAAUGGAGCGGUAGGAACCAGGAAGGAGCAGGGACAACUGCUGGUGAGGAGGUGGAGCAAGUGAAUAGCUACCUGUCUCGUUGUGCCCUGACGACAAAGUACAUGUCGAAAGCAGCACGAGUGGACAUGCUUACAUUGCAUGCUCUGGGGUGGAACCACAAAAAAAGGACCUUUUUACAUCAGGCCCUUUCUACAAGAUAUGUAAAGACCUGUCAAAGACUGCUAGAUGAGACUGUAAGGCUAGCUGAGCUGAAAGCAGAGCUACAGUGCACUGACGAAAUGGCAUCACAGUGGAUGUCCGAGGUGACUGAAUGGGCAGCUGACA